GUCUACAGCCAUACCACCCUGUGCGCCCAAUCUCUUCUGAUCUUGGAAGCUAAGCGGGGUUGGGCCUGGUUAGGACUUAGAUGAGAGAAUGUAAGCUCACUGGGGGCA
ensembl:rRNA 5S_rRNA 5S ribosomal RNA